UGAACGCUAGCGGCAGGCCUAAUACAUGCAAGUCGAGGGGUAACAUGAGAGCUUGCUCUUGAUGACGACCGGCGCACGGGUGCGUAACGCGUAUGCAACCUACCUAUAACAGGGGGAUAGCCCGGAGAAAUCCGGAUUAAUACCCCAUAAUGCAGGGGUACUACCUGGUACUAUUUGCUAAAGAUUUAUCGGUUAUAGAUGGGCAUGCGUCUGAUUAGAUUGUUGGUGAGGUAACGGCUCACCAAGUCGACGAUCAGUAGGGGGUCUGAGAGGAUGAUCCCCCACACUGGCACUGAGAUACGGGCCAGACUCCUACGGGAGGCAGCAGUAGGGAAUAUUGGGCAAUGGAGGCAACUCUGACCCAGCCAUGCCGCGUGAAGGAUGAAGGCCUUCUGGGUUGUAAACUUCUUUUAUAUAGGAAGAAAAAGGUCAUGCGUGACCAAUUGACGGUACUAUAUGAAUAAGCACCGGCUAACUCC
rnacentral:rRNA from 1 species